rnacentral:tRNA from 1 species
UUAGCUCAGUGGUGAGAGCGAGCGACGCAUAAUCGCCAGGUCGCUGGUUCGAAUCCAGUA